GCCUCGGUGGCGAAAUUGGUAGACGCAAGGGACUUAAAAUCCCUCGGUAGUUAAAUACCGUGCCGGUUCAAGUCCGGCCCGAGGCA
rnacentral:tRNA from 1 species